GCGAGUACGGGGGCGGGCGCGGUGGUAAUAGGUAUGUCCCAAGCGUUAGCCGGAAUUAUUGGGCGUAAAGCGGGCGGAGGAGGUUAGUUAAGUCUGAUGUGAAAGCCUACGGAUCAACCGUAGAAUUGCAUCGGAAACUGGAUGACUUGAGUGCAGUAGAGGAGAGUGGAACUCCAUGUGUAGCGGUGAAAUGCGUAGAUAUAUGGAAGAACACCAGAGGCGAAGGCGGCUCUCUGGACUGUAACUGACGCUGAGGCUCGAAAGUGUGGGUAGCAAACAGGAUUAGAUACCCUGGUAGUC
rnacentral:rRNA from 1 species